rnacentral:rRNA from 1 species
GAUCAUGGCUCAGGAUGAACGCUAGCUACAGGCUUAACACAUGCAAGUCGAGGGGAAACGAUAUUGAAGCUUGCUUCCGAUAGGCGUCGACCGGCGCACGGGUGAGUAACGCGUAUCCAACCUGGCCCACCACUUGGGAUAACCUUGCGAAAGUAAGACUAAUACCCAAUGAUAUCUCUAGAAGGACAUCUGAAAGAGAUUAAAGAUUUAUCGGUGAUGGAUGGGAUGCGU